UACGUAGGGUGCAAGCGUUAAUCGGAAUUACUGGGCGUAAAGCGUGCGCAGGCGGUUUUGUAAGUCAGAUGUGAAAUCCCCGGGCUUAACCUGGGAACUGCGCUUGAAACUACAAGGCUAGAGUGUGGCAGAGGGGGGUGGAAUUCCACGUGUAGCAGUGAAAUGCGCAGAUAUCAGGAGGAACACCUAUUGCGAAGGCAGCUCGCUGGGACGUAACUGACGCUGAGGCACGAAGGCCAGGGGAGCAAACGGG
rnacentral:rRNA from 1 species